UUAAACAGAAAUGCAGUUAGUCAAGAAAACUGGAUGUUGAAUUAUAUGUACAGAUUUGUUAUACAUGUACAGGGUAAAGGGGGCUGUGUACAAAUGCGAAUGUAGAAAGUAUUGCAUUGCAUAUUGAUAUAAGGUGCUGUGUGUAUGAGAAAAUAUAGGAGAUAUUUAUUGCACAGUUGGGUGGAUAUUUAACUGGAGGAAAAUAAACUUUUUUGUGUGUCUGGCUGUUUUUGUUCUUGGUGCUCUGAAGCGCAGACCAGACAGUAACAGUUGGAACAGGUAGUGUGCUGGAUGCGAUUCGUCCAGAGUGAUUUUGCAAGCCCUUUUACUCACUUUGGAAGAGUUCAGUUCUUGAAGUGUAGUGCCAGUGAUACGUUCAGCAGUACGGACUAUUCGCUGUAGUCU
rnacentral:lncRNA from 1 species